UACGUAGGAGGCAAGCGUUAUCCGGAAUGACUGGGCGUAAAGGGUGCGUAGGUGGUUUGACAAGUUGGUAGCGUAACUCCGAGGCUUAACCUCGGCACUACUACCAAAACUGUUGGACUCGAGUGCAGGAGGGGCAAAUGGAAUUCCUAGUGUAGCGGUGAAAUGCGUAGAUAUUAGGAGGAACACCGGCGGCGAAGGCGGCCUGCUGGACCGUAACUGACGUUGAGGCUCGAAAGCGUGGGGAGCAAACAGG
rnacentral:rRNA from 1 species